rnacentral:misc_RNA from 1 species
GAUGAAGAACGUAGCUAAAUGCGAUAAGUAAUGUGAAUUGCAGAAUUCAGUGAAUCAUCGAAUCUUUGAACGCACAUUGCGCCCCUUGGUAUUCCGGGGGGCAUGCCUGUUCGAGCGUCAUUAUAACCCCUCAAGCUCAGCUUGGUGUUGGGGCCUGCCGACUGGCAGCCCUUAAAAUCAGUGGCGGCGCCAUCUGGCUCUAAGCGUAGUAAUUUCUCUCGCUAUAGAGUCCCGGUGGAUGCUUGCCAGCAACCCCCAACUUUCUAUGGUUGACCUCGGAUCAGGUAGGGAUACCCGCUGAACUUAAGCAUAUCAAUAAGCGGAGGA